ACGAACGCUGGCGGCGUGCUUAACACAUGCAAGUCGAACGGAAAGGCCCUGCUUUUGUGGGGUGCUCGAGUGGCGAACGGGUGAGUAACACGUGAGUAACCUGCCCUUGACUUUGGGAUAACUUCGGGAAACUGGGGCUAAUACCGGAUAGGAGCUCCUGCUGCAUGGUGGGGGUUGGAAAGUUUCGGCGGUUGGGGAUGGACUCGCGGCUUAUCAGCUUGUUGGUGGGGUAGUGGCUUACCAAGGCUUUGACGGGUAGCCGGCCUGAGAGGGUGACCGGCCACAUUGGGACUGAGAUACGGCCCAGACUCCUACGGGAGGCAGCAGUGGGGAAUAUUGCACAAUGGGCGGAAGCCUGAUGCAGCAACGCCGCGUGCGGGAUGACGGCCUUCGGGUUGUAAACCGCUUUCGCCUGUGACGAAGCGUGAGUGACGGUAAUGGGUAAAGAAGCACCGGCUAACUACGUG
rnacentral:rRNA from 1 species